AUUGAACGCUAGCGGGAUGCUUUACACAUGCAAGUCGAACGAGUGGCGGACGGGUGAGUAAUAUAUCGGAACCUGCCCAGUAGCGGGGGAUAACUACUCGAAAAAGUCGCUAAUACCGCAUACUAUCGGCUAGGCCCAUAUGGGAUUAGCUAGUUGGUGGGGUAAAGGCUCACCAAGGCAACGAUCGCUAGCUGGUUGGAGAGGAUGACCAGCCACACUGGAACUGAGACACGGUCCAGACGCCUACGGGAGGCAGCAGUGGGGAAUUUUGGACAAUGGGCGCAAGCCUGAUGCAGCCAUGCCGCGUGUAUGAAGAAGGCCUUCGGGUUGUAAAGUACUUUCAGCAGAGAGGCGUUAUCCGCAGAAUAAGCACCGGCUAACUCCGUGCCAGCAGCCGCGGUAAUUC
rnacentral:rRNA from 1 species